GUCGUAACAAGGUUUCCGUAGGUGAACCUGCGGAAGGAUCAUUACCUAGAGUUUGUAGACUUCGGUCUGCUACCUCUUACCCAUGUCUUUUGAGUACCUUCGUUUCCUCGGCGGGUCCGCCCGCCGAUUGGACAACAUUCAAACCCUUUGCAGUUGCAAUCAGCGUCUGAAAAAACAUAAUAGUUACAACUUUCAACAACGGAUCUCUUGGUUCUGGCAUCGAUGAAGAACGCAGCGAAAUGCGAUAAGUAGUGUGAAUUGCAGAAUUCAGUGAAUCAUCGAAUCUUUGAACGCACAUUGCGCCCCUUGGUAUUCCAUGGGGCAUGCCUGUUCGAGCGUCAUUUGUACCUUCAAGCUCUGCUUGGUGUUGGGUGUUUGUCUCGCCUCUGCGUGUAGACUCGCCUUAGAACAAUUGGCAGCCGGCGUAUUGAUUUCGGAGCGCAGUACAUCUCGCGCUUUGCACUCAUAACGACGACGUCCAAAAGUACAUUUUUACACUCUUGACCUCGGAUCAGGUAGGGAUACCCGCUGAACUUAAGCAUAU
rnacentral:rRNA from 1 species